rnacentral:rRNA from 1 species
AUUGAACGCUGGCGGCAUGCCUUACACAUGCAAGUCGAACGGUAACAGGUCUUCGGAUGCUGACGAGUGGCGCACGGGUGAGUAAUACAUCGGAACGUGCCCGAUCGUGGGGGAUAACGAGGCGAAAGCUUUGCUAAUACCGCAUACGAUCUACGGAUGAAAGCGGGGGAUCUUCGGACCUCGCGCGGACGGAGCGGCCGAUGGCAGAUUAGGUAGUUGGUGGGAUAAAAGCUUACCAAGCCGACGAUCUGUAGCUGGUCUGAGAGGAUGAUCAGCCACACUGGGACUGAGACACGGCCCAGACUCCUACGGGAGGCAGCAGUGGGGAAUUUUGGACAAAAGGCGAAAGCCUGAUCCAGCCAUGCCGCGUGCAGGAUGAAGGCCUUCGGGUUGUAAACUGCUUUUGUACGGAACGAAAAGCCUCUUUCUAAUAAAGAGGGGUCAUGACGGUACCGUAAGAAUAAGCACCGGCUAACUACGUG